AUUUAUUAUGCUGAUUGUUUCUCCACGCUACAAGGUAAGCACUAUAUGUACAGGAUUCUUUUUCUCAUCACAGGUACUAAGAACAGUGCCUGGUAGACAAAUGCCCACCAAAUGCCUCUAGAGCAGAUGAAUCAGCAGUCGCUUGCAUGACCAGCACCAUCAUCUAAUGGUAGAGACCCAGGGAGUUCAUGAAGGAAUCGAAGUCUUCCUGAGUCUUUUACACCAGAACACACCAUGCACAUACAAGUUCCUGAACCUCCGCUUUACCAUGAGUUUGCCAAACUCAGGCCACCGACUCAGUGACACUGGGGAGCAUGGAUGAAGCUGGCUGACUUGCUUCUAAGAUUAGACUGCGGCAGAUGAUGAGCCAACCUGCCUCCAUCUUAGGUAAAGACAUUAUAUAGUAAAGAUAAACUAGGUUCAUUUCUGUUUGUGAUUAAAUCUAUUUCUCAAAGAGUGGGCUAUGCCCCACCUAUAACCUUAACUACCAAUGGUUCUGUUCUGCUUGUUCAUGGAAAUGGCAACCAUGCCUUUGUUUCAAUAGGCUUUAUGACCGCCUUGUAACCAUGUCUUUGUUUCAGGAGGUUGUUGUGACCAACUUGUUAUGUCUGUGUUCUGCUCCUGUAACCCUGCCCGUUUGCCUGCCAAAUCCCCCAUUCUCUCCCCACCCCUAUCCGAUGUUAAUCUCUUAAACCCCACAUUUAGGGAGAGACAGUUGGUGUAUACGAAUAAAAUUGCUUGUUCUAAUGAA